CUAAGUUUGAUGGCGACCGGCGCACGGGUGAGUAACACGUAUCCAACCUGCCGAUGACUCGGGGAUAGCCUUUCGAAAGAAAGAUUAAUACCCGAUGGCAUAGUUCUUCCGCAUGGUAGAACUAUUAAAGAAUUUCGGUCAUCGAUGGGGAUGCGUUCCAUUAGGUUGUCGGCGGGGUAACGGCCCACCAAGCCUUCGAUGGAUAGGGGUUCUGAGAGGAAGGUCCCCCACAUUGGAACUGAGACACGGUCCAAACUCCUACGGGAGGCAGCAUG
rnacentral:rRNA from 1 species